rnacentral:rRNA from 1 species
UAUUGGCGAACGGGUGAGUAACACGUGAGUAACCUGCCCUUAACUCUGGGAUAAGCCUUGGAAACGGGGUCUAAUACUGGAUAUUGACUUUUCACCGCAUGGUGGUUGGUUGAAAGAUUUAUUGGUUUUGGAUGGACUCGCGGCCUAUCAGCUUGUUGGUGAGGUAAUGGCUCACCAAGGCGACGACGGGUAGCCGGCCUGAUAGGGUGACCGGCCACACUGGGACUGAGACACGGGCCAAACUCCUACGGGAGGCAGCAGUGGGGAAUAUUGCACAAUGGGCGAAAGCCUGAUGCAGCGACGCCGCGUGAGGGAUGACGGCCUUCGGGUUGUAAACCUCUUUCAGUAGGGAACAAGGCCAGUGUUUAGCUGGUUGAGGGUACUUGCAGAAGAAGCGCCGGCUAACUACGUGCCAGCAGCCGCGGUAAUACGUAGGGCGCAAGCGUUAUCCGGAAUUAUUGGGCGUAAAGAGCUCGUAGGCGGUUUGUCGCCGUCUGCCGUGAAAGUCCGGGGCUCAACCCCGGAUCUGCGGUGGGUACGGGCAGACUAAAGUGAUGUAGGGGAGACUGGAAUUCCUGGUGUAGCGGUGAAA